GUGGGGAAUAUUGGACAAUGGGCGAAAGCCUGAUCCAGCCAUGCCGCGUGUGUGAAGAAGGUCUUCGGAUUGUAAAGCACUUUAAGUUGGGAGGAAGGGCAGUAAGCUAAUACCUUGCUGUUUUGACGUUACCGACAGAAUAAGCACCGGCUAACUUCGUGCCAGCAGCCGAGGUAAUACGAAGGGUGCAAGCGUUAAUCGGAAUUACUGGGCGUAAAGCGCGCGUAGGUGGUUUUGUAAGUUGGAGGUGAAAUCCCCGGGCUCAACCUGGGAACUGCCUCCAAAACUGCAUGACUAGAGUACGGUAGAGGGUAGUGGAAUUUCCUGUGUAGCGGUGAAAUGCGUAGAUAUAGGAAGGAACACCAGUGGCGAAGGCGACUACCUGGACUGAUACUGACACUGAGGUGCGAAAGCGUGGGGAGCAAACAGGAUUAGAAACCCGUGUAGUCC
rnacentral:rRNA from 1 species